rnacentral:rRNA from 1 species
AAGGAUAUGGUAGGAGAGCGUUCUGUAAGCCUGUGAAGGUGUCUUGUAAAGGAUGCUGGAGGUAUCAGAAGUGCGAAUGCUGACAUGAGUAGCGAUAAUGCGGGUGAAAAGCCCGCACGCCGUAAGCCCAAGGUUUCCUGUUCAACGUUCAUCGGAGCAGGGUGAGUCGGCCCCUAAGGCGAGGCAGAGAUGCGUAGCUGAUGGGAAGCAGGUUAAUAUUCCUGCACCGUCGUUAGAUGCGAUGGGGGGACGGAUCGCGGAAGGUUGUCCGACUGUUGGAAUAGUCGGUUUUUGCAUCGAAGAAGGCUGUUAGGCAAAUCCGGCAGCGUAAUUCAAGGGUGUGAGACGAGCGAACUUGUUCGCGAAGCAAUCGGAAGUGGUUCCAAGAAAAGCCUCUAAGCUUCAGUCUAACGAGACCGUACCGCAAACCGACACAGGUGGGCGAGAUGAGUAUUCUAAGGCGCUUGAGAGAACUCGGGAGAAGGAACUCGGCAAAUUGGUACCGUAACUUCGGGAUAAGGUACGCCCAAGUAGUUUAACUGGCCUGCGCCAGAAGGACAAAAGGGUUGCAAUAAAAUGGUGGCUGCGACUGUUUAAUAAAAACACAGCACUCUGCAAACACGAAAGUGGACGUAUAGGGUGUGACGCCUGCCCGGUGCUGGAAGAUUAAAUGAUGGGGUGCAAGCUCUUGAUUGAAGUCCCAGUAAACGGCGGCCGUAACUAUAACGGUCCUAAGGUAGCGAAAUUCCUUGUCGGGUAAGUUCCGACCUGCACGAAUGGCGUAACGAUGGCCACACUGUCUCCUCCCGAGACUCAGCGAAGUUGAAAUGUUUGUGAUGAUGCAAUCUACCCGCGGCUAGACGGAAAGACCCCAUGAACCUUUACUGUAGCUUUGCAUUGGACUUUGAACCAAUCUGUGUAGGAUAGGUGGGAGGCUUUGAAGCGUGGACGCUAGUCUGCGUGGAGCCGACCUUGAAAUACCACCCUGGUUUGUUUGAGGUUCUAACCUUGGUCCGUUAUCCGGAUCGGGGACAGUGCAUGGUAGGCAGUUUGACUGGGGCGGUCUCCUCCCAAAGUGUAACGGAGGAGUUCGAAGGUACGCUAGGUACGGUCGGACAUCGUGCUAAUAGUGCAAUGGCAUAAGCGUGCUUAACUGCGAGACUGACAAGUCGAGCAGGUACGAAAGUAGGACAUAGUGAUCCGGUGGUUCUGUAUGGAAGGGCCAUCGCUCAACGGAUAAAAGGUACUCUGGGGAUAACAGGCUGAUUCCUCCCAAGAGUUCAUAUCGACGGGGGAGUUUGGCACCUCGAUGUCGGCUCAUCACAUCCUGGGGCUGUAGCCGGUCCCAAGGGUAUGGCUGUUCGCCAUUUAAAGUGGUACGUGAGCUGGGUUUAAAACGUCGUGAGACAGUUUGGUCCCUAUCUGCCGUGGGCGUUGGAAGUUUGAAGGGGGCUGCUCCUAGUACGAGAGGACCGGAGUGGACGAACCUCUGGUGUAUCGGUUGUCACGCCAGUGGCAUUGCCGAGUAGCUAAGUUCGGAAGAGAUAACCGCUGAAAGCAUCUAAGCGGGAAACUCGCCUUGAGAUGAGACUUCCCGGGAACUAGAUUCCCCUAAAGGGUCGUUCGAGACCAGGACGUUGAUAGGUCAGGUGUGGAAGCGCAGUAAUGCGUUAAGCUAACUGAUACUAAUUGCCCGUGCGGCUUGUUCCU